rnacentral:rRNA from 1 species
UUUCUUAAUACUGAUGUGAAAGCCCCUGGCUCAACCGGGGAGGGUCAUUGGAAACUGGGAGACUUGAGUGCAGAAGAUGAGAAUGGAAUUCCAUGUGUAGCUGUGAAAUGCGUAGAUAUAUGGAGGAACACCAGUGGCGAAGGCGGCUCUCUGGUCUGUAACUGACGCUGAGGCUCGAAAGCGUGGGGAGCAAACAGG